CAAAAUCGGCGCUGGUGUGGAGAUGAGCCCUGCCUUGGGGACCACUGACCCGACCACGUCCCAAAGAUCAUUAACAUGGAUUCCAGGAAAUGAAAACUCUCGCUCUGCUGCCCAGACUCGGAUGGUGUGAUAACAGCUCACUGCAGCCUCAACCUCCUGGGAUCAAACAAUCCUCCUGCUUCAGCCUUCUGAGUAGCUAGGACUACAGACAGUUUCGCUUAUUGCCCAGGCUGGAGUGUAAUGGCACAAUCUCGGUUCACUGCAACCUCCGCCUCCCGGGUUCAAGCGAUUCUCCUGCCUCAGCCUCCUGAGAAGCUGAGAUUACAGGUUUUUGCUUUUGCCAAUCCCCUCCCUCACAUGCCUUGAAACAAGCACUUUCAAAGACAAAGACAUAAACAACAAAAGGGUGCAGGCUGAGGUGGGUCAUCUUCUCUGCCUGCGUCUCCAACUCUGGAUCCUGCAGUUACUGGACUCAGGCCAUGGCUGACUCCUUCAUCACAGCUAAGAUGCUGCUGGGUUUAAGGCACUGUGACUUUCUGUGCCACUAAGACCGACAAAAAGCUGCCAAGUGAACGAUGACACAAAGAAAGACACAAACUGUGGGACCCAGCCCAACUUCAGAGCUGCUAAAAUGUGAACAAAAAUGCAUCCCGGAAUGGAUGGAAACCGAUCAUUCUAGUUGGUGUGACCUGCUCCAGUGCCUACAGUACGUGUCCUGACAGCGUGGGAGGGGAUAUGAAGGCCCCCCAGUCAAACAGGAGACAGCGUUAGUCUCCAAACUUAACUUUGUUAUCUCUUUCCCUCCUGGGGCCCAAUACCCGCCAGCCAGGACCUGUUUCUCCUCCAUCUCACAUUCUUUCCAGGUUCAGGACUGAAGUCGUCUUGUUCAGCUCCUUGACUUGGCCAUGCUCACUCUACAAUGCAGCCCAUGGAUGGCGCCCCCUCUGCCCAGCACAUCCCUCUGCCUGGGCUCUUGUCUCCCCGAAUCCUGCAAACCCCAGCCCCAGCCUUUAGCGUUCAGCCGCCCUCCCCGCUUCCCUCAUCCUCCCUCGCGUCCUCGCAGUGAGAUUUCAACAUGUCAUCUCAGUUUUUUUGUUCUUUUACUUUCCUGACUACAAGAAAAAUA
rnacentral:lncRNA from 1 species